rnacentral:rRNA from 1 species
AACGUAGGGCGCAAGCGUUGUCCGGAAUUAUUGGGCGUAAAGAGCUCGUAGGCGGCUUGUCACGUCGGAUGUGAAAGCCCGGGGCUUAACCCCGGGUCUGCAUUCGAUACGGGCAGGCUAGAGUGUGGUAGGGGAGAUCGGAAUUCCUGGUGUAGCGGUGAAAUGCGCAGAUAUCAGGAGGAACACCGGUGGCGAAGGCGGAUCUCUGGGCCAUUACUGACGCUGAGGAGCGAAAGCGUGGGGAGCGAACAGG